ACGGACACGGAUAUUCGUGGUUCCAUGCAACGCCGAAUUUGCCGUGCAAACUCGGCGUUGAACAGUGUACACGGAAGUACACUGUUCAACAGGC
rnacentral:sRNA from 1 species